rnacentral:rRNA from 1 species
GUGGGGAAUAUUGGGCAAUGGGCGAAAGCCUGACCCAGCAACGCCGCGUGAAGGAAGAAGGUUUUCGGAUCGUAAACUUCUAUCCUUGGUGAAGAUAAUGACGGUAGCCAAGAAGGAAGCCCCGGCUAACUACGUGCCAGCAGCCGCGGUAAUACGUAGGGGGCAAGCGUUGUCCGGAAUGAUUGGGCGUAAAGGGCGCGUAGGCGGCCCGGUAAGUCUGAAGUGAAAGUCCUGCUUUUAAGGUGGGAAUUGCUUUGGAUACUGUCGGGCUUGAGUGCAGGAGAGGUAAGCGGAAUUCCCGGUGUAGCGGUGAAAUGCGUAGAGAUCGGGAGGAACACCAGUAGCGAAGGCGGCUUACUGGACUGUAACUGACGCUGAGGCGCGAAAGUGUGGGGAGCAAACAGGAUUAGAAACCCUAGUAGUCC